rnacentral:rRNA from 1 species
AUCUAUGACUAUCCCACCCUGAAAACACCAAUUUCAUCUGAUCUCUGAAGCUAAAUAGGGUGGGGCCUGGGUAGUACUAGGAUGAGAGACUGCUUGGGAUUUUGGGGGGGACUGUAGGCU